rnacentral:lncRNA from 1 species
UGCAGCAAAGAAGGUGGUACGAGUCAUGUGCUUGCACGCUUGGCACUUCAUGGUAAUGUAGUCAGCUAUGGUUCUGAUCCUUUCUCUAAUUCUACCUUUUCUCCUGGAGUAACUGCCAUAUCUGCUGGCUCCGAGCUUCUAACACUUGGGAGUAAUGGAAGUGUUGAUCUUGCAUUUACUGUACUUUUUCCUCCAUUUUAGCCAUCAAAUUAUAAUAGUUCUUCCUAUCAGCCUUAAAAUCUUUAGCCUGUUUGGCUGCCUCAUCCUCAAGAGUAGUUACCUUUCUUCUUAGGCUGGUAAUGGUCCCUUCAUAGUUUCUCUUCAUUUGCUGCACAAAUCAUGCCCGUUCUUCUGCUUUCUUUGUCCAUUGUGCCCGUAAAUUUGCUAGACUAUCUUCAUACUUUUCCAGGUAUUCUUGGUACUCGAGGACUUUAUUUUUUAGACCACUUAUAAGUGUUUCAUCACCCCUACUUCUUUCCUGGUUGUUGGUAGUUAUUUUCAUCUUCGUGAUCUGAGCUUUAAGGGCCUCAUUUUCCUGGGUCAAUUUCUUCUUUUCUCCCUUUUCUACGGUGGCUUGAACACUAUUUUCAAAUUGAAGCUCCAUUACUUGCCUUUCCAAUUUGCUUUUUUGGCCUUGUAUUCAUUCUCUUUGGUCAACCACUCCCAUUGCGGUUGUGCCCCAACGAUGAAUUGUUGGACAUGUGGUCUUUUUGCAGGCCUUUCAGGAAUUUGGAAUUUCUUGACGAACUAGUAAAUGUACUUAGGGCCCACUUCACCUCUAGCUCAGUCUCACAUUAUGGUCUUAGGUUCAAGAAACCUACACUCAUUCCAAAAUUGGCGAAUUUUCCCUUCUAGAAAUGCAAAUUUUGGGCCCAGUUCAAUGGCAUGUUUGCUCAAAUCUUCAUCGUUGUGGAUGGUUUAAAAUCUUCCUAAUUGGCGCAACACUCUGUAAGGACCUAAUGCCCAUCAAGAGGAUACAAGACACUUCUGCUGUCGUGUAUACCGCUUCAGUGGCAGGGACCCAUCCAAAUGCCCACUCAAUUUUAUCAACAGCCAAGGAUCUCAAAUGUGCAAGCCAAGCUUCUGUACCUGUAGAAAAUUAAACACAUGCUACCCAUCUUUCAAACUCUUCAAUGCAGCUCAGACCAGUCAAACCAAAAUUCAUGUACCUAACCUGGUGACAGAGGUGUUCUUGCAUCCAUAAUUGAAGUAACAAAUUGCUACCCUGGAAACUUUCCUCUUCCCGACAGAUAGUCAAGGCUCGGUAGAUUUCAGACACGAUCUAAGGAACCACAGUGUUGUUGGCUUUCUUGAUUGCAACAUGGAUCAUUCCCACAAGACCUAUCUCUAUAUUGACAUCUUUCCGAGGACAAAUCACAACACUCAUAAAGGCCACCAUAAAAGCUAUGCCCCGCCUUGCCUCCCAUUUAUCUUUAUUUCCAGCGUGGGUUAGACUAGUUUUUGGCUCUUCAAAACCUCGGGGGUUACCAUAUCGAUGAUACAAAAUCUAGAUUGUGCAAUACCCUUCGGAUAGAUUUCUAUCCUGAACAUCCCGACUAAUAGUUAGCAAAUCUAGAAAUAUGCGGGGAGAUACCAGUCUUGGUGAUGGUGGAUAUCGACUUCUAAGAUUUCCAUUAAGGCCUAUAUAACCUACAAAUUCCUCCAGUGUAGGUGUGAGCUCAAAGUCAAAGAAAUGGAACACAUUGCGAGUCGGAUCCCAAAAGGGUAUUAAAGCUUCAAUUAUGUCCAAUAUUGGCUUGACGUUCAAUAGUCCGACAAGGCCUCCCAGAACGUUUACUAUUGUUUCUCUAUUACCCUUUUGUAGAUCAUUCCAUCAUAUAUGGAGCUUCAAGA